UACGGGGGGGGGUAAGCGUUGUUCGGAAUUACUGGGCGUAAAGAGCUCGUAGGCGGUCUGUCGCGUCUGCUGUGAAAACUCGGGGCUUAACCCCGGGCCUGCAGUGGGUACGGGCAGACUAGAGUGCGGUAGGGGGAGACUGGAAUUCCUGGUGUAGCGGUGAAAUGCGCAGAUAUCAGGAGGAACACCGGUGGCGAAGGCGGGUCUCUGGGCCGUAACUGACGCUGAGGAGCGAAAGCGGUGGGAGCGAACAGG
rnacentral:rRNA from 1 species